rnacentral:rRNA from 1 species
GAUGAACGCUGGCGGCGUGCCUAUACAUGCAAGUCGAGCGAACGGACGAGAAGCUUGCUUCUCUGAUGUUAGCGGCGGACGGGUGAGUAACACGUGGAUAACCUACCUAUAAGACUGGGAUAACUUCGGGAAACCGGAGCUAAUACCGGAUAAUAUUUUGAACCGCAUGGUUCAAAAGUGAAAGACGGUCUUGCUGUCACUUAUAGAUGGAUACGCGCUGCAUUAGCUAGUUGGUAAGGUAACGGCCUACCAAGGCAACGAUGCAUAGCCGACCUGAGAGGGUGAUCGGCCACACUGGAACUGAGACACGGUCCAGACUCCUACGGGAGGCAGCAGUAGGGAAUCUUCCGCAAUGGGCGAAAGCCUGACGGAGCAACGCCGCGUGAGUGAUGAAGGUCUUCGGAUCGUAAAACUCUGUUAUUAGGGAAGAACAUAUGUGUAAGUAACUGUGCACAUCUUGACGGUACCUAAUCAGAAAGCCACGGCUAACUACGUG